rnacentral:lncRNA from 1 species
UACUAUUAAUAGUAAAACGCUCUUUUUGCUAUCAAGUUUUUAACCCUUGAAUGAAAAAUUGUAGGGUCAGGAUGAUAUUAGUCGGUUAGAGUUGAGUGGUCCCCCUAGGGUUGAGUGGUCCCCACUAGGUUAUAGUAUUUAAUCCAAUGGUUAGAAAUAAUGAAAAGAGUUGAUCCAAAGGCUAAAAAACUGGUAGCAACAAUGGGAUUUUGCUACUAAUAGUGGCCCAGUCCAAAUCUAUAUAUAUAUAUAGAGAGAGAGAGAGAAAGAGAGUAAGUCUCCUGUACUUUCGAAAGUACGGAGACCUCCGUGCUUGUAAGUUGUUUUCGAUAAUAGGAAAUCCGAUUCGACGAUCGGUUCCGUUAAGUAUAAUCUACCCUAUUAGAACUAUUUAGAAACCAAAUUUUAUAAUUUUUUGACAUUAUUUACCAAGUGAUCAAAAGGCCUCAAAAAUGACUAUUUUAAUGGCCGAUGUGACACGUUUUUAAGUUCAACGGUGUAGAAGUAUCCAAUUAGAUGAAAAUUUAAUAAAAAAAUCUACUUAACAUCAAUAGCAAGACCAAUACUUUCGAUUUGAAAUUUGAGUCAUUUAUCACUAUUUUUUAUGAGAUUUUCAUUUUCAGCUGUUCAUUUUGAGGCUACUCGUUUACUAGACAAACGAAAUCAAAAAAUUAUGAAAUUUGGUUUCUAGAUAGUUCCAACAGUGUAGAUCAUGUCUAACAGAACCGAUCGCCGAAUCAGAUGUCCGAUUAUUGAAAACAACUUAUAAGUACGGAGGCUCCCGUACUUUCGAAAGCAUAGGAUCACCGCAGCCCUUAUGCUUCUAACUUUCUAACAACCCAUCAAGUUUGAUGGGUGGUUAGAAUGAAAGAGGGAGGAGAUAUUGGGAAGAAAUUGGGUAUUUCAAUUUCUUUUCUCCUUGAAUUUCUCUUCAAUAUCUCUUUCCCUUUUCAUUCUAACUACCCAUCAAACUUGAUGGGUGGUUAGAAAGUUAGGAGCACAAGGGCUGCUGUGCUCCUAAUAGCACAGUAGCCCUACUCUCUCUCUAUAUAUAUAUAUAUAUGCAUAUAUAUAUAUAUGUAUGUAUAUGUAUGUAUGUAUAUGUAUGUAUAUAUAUGUAUAUGUGUGUGUGUGUGUGUGUGUGUGUGUGUGUGUGUGUGUGUGUGUGUGUGUGNUUCUGACAUUCCCGCAAAUUUUCAUAAUUUUCUGAGACUGUACAUUUUCUGCUAAUUUAUCAGUCCCGUUUCCAACAGAAAAUUCUAAAUAUUCUGUUUUCAAUCCGAUUUCAGCACAAGUCAUUUCUGACUUAUGUUUUACUCCUCUAAAUCUAAUAAAAAUAGUAUCUCACACUAUUUUUAUUUAUUUUUAUUUUUAUAUUUAAAAUCCGGUAUGUUACAUUCCACCGCAACUUCACCGGAACCAUUUAAAUGUAUACCGUGACUUCAUGAUUUUAAAAUCCGGUAUGUUACAUUCCACCGCAACUUCACCGGAACCAUUUAAAUGUAUACCGUGACUUCAUGAUUUUAGAAGUUCAGUAUGUUACAGACGCAAAACGGACUCUCUGCGAUGCGAGUGUAGCAUUUGGCGAGACAAUAUGCAAAAUAGCAGUUUUUCUACUUGCUGUACUGGUACAGCCAUCAAGGUGUACCGGUACACUUUAUCAGGCUAUGCGCGGGUUGCUCUCGGGUUACCCUCUGUACCGGUACACUGGCCCGUGUACCGGUACACUAGGGUAGGUAAAGGGGCUUUUUGGUAAUUUCGAGCCUCGUUUGUGUCACCCUCCUCUCCCCAACCUAUAUACCUGUGUAGAGAGAGCUGAGAGGAGAGUUUCUUGCUUACUUCUUCUUCUCUCUCUAGCUUGGAUCGUGAGCAUGGUGGAGCUCCGGUGGAGUUCGGGUUUCGUCGAUGUCGCACCGCGAAGCCGUUCGAGGGUACGGUUGCCGCCGUAGCAUCGCAAAGAGGCCGGACGAGAUUGCGUUUUUGCCGUUCUCGACGCCGCAUCGAAGUUCGAUUAACCUUUGAGGUGAGUGUUCCGUUGCAAUUGCUUCAAGUACUUCAAGCAUCAUCAAAUUCGAGUUAUGUAAUGUUUCGCAGAAUUUCAUCGUCGACUGUCAGCAUUUCGACUCGUACUCGACGUAGGAGCGUCAGAUUUUGACGAGAUUUGGUUCGUUGGAUUCGGGACUUCGAGAGGAAUCCACGGAGCCCUUAUUUACUGGAUUUGGUGAAGGUUUGCUGGGUCGGAAUUAUAGUCUUCUCUGCUGAUGUUUUUGAGGCAGAUUUGAUGCUUAUUGCCGGAUUCUACGUGUAGAGUUGGCGGGAACUUGACUUCCGGCCUUUGGAGGUUUUCAGUUGAUCCUGCCGGGCGUCCCUUUGCUUCGGGACUUCCUCGCCGCCAGGGAUUAGCUCGCAAGGUGGGUUACAUCGGUUUAUUCCUAAGUAUCGUAUUAGUCGACAUGUAUGAUUUUCAGCUUUGUAUAUCAUGUGUAGCUCAAUUUCGUCGAUUAUAUUCUGAUGAAAACCGAUUUGAGAACAUGAUUAGUAAACCCUAAAUAUACAUGUUGGACUUCGAUUUGACUUAGGAGAAAACGCGAUAACGAUCGGCACAUGUAAACUAUCUGAUUUAGCCCUAGGGAUCGUUGUAUUAUUUUAUACUGUUGAAGUAUCCUCAUAGUGAGUAUUCCCGGUAGUUUAGUUUUCAGUUACGCUCAUACUGGGAUGCCGAGUGUAUUUUUACUGUAGCGUUCAGACUGUUCCGGAUGUUGGGUGCCGUCGGGGUUGACGGUGGACCCAUAUCGCCUGUUUGGCGUCGGAUUGUGCCAAGGGCACGUUACCUAUUGGUUGUUAGACCAGUUUGAGUCGGUUACUGGAUUUUGACUUUCGAGAGUCUGAUUGAGCUCAACAGAUUUGAUUGGGUCAGAUUUGACAUUUCCUACAGUUGGUUAGUGUAGAGCAUGAUAGUGUAGCGAUUCAUAGCGGUAGAUUUUAUUCCUGCAUUUACUACUAUCCUUACUCCCUUCUGUAGAUUUAGUGGGUAGACCGAUGUUGUUGAGGGCGGCACCCACUGAGGACUACUUGUUUUACAGUAGUUCUCAUGCUCUGUUGUUACCCUAUUUUUUUGCAGAGCCUUCGUCUUCGGCUGCUGUUGUUGUUGAUCAGGAUCGAGGCAAGGGCGUCGCGAGUUAGAGCCCUACCCGACAAGCCGAGCUAGAGGUGCCCCUACAGCAGGUAGUUGUUUUGUUGGAGUUUAUGUACAUACUUAUAUUUAACUCGCCAGUGCGAGUAGUUUUAUAUCUUGGAUUUUGGCAUAUGUAUAUGGAACUCGGUUUGUUUUAUUUCUAGUUCUUCUAGCAGCUUUAUACUACUGUUUGUAGUAUUGUAUGAUUUACAGGUACAGCUAUCGCUUCGUAUACAGGAAAAAUUUCUUUAUAUACGGCGAAUUUGUCGGCGUGCCCGGAGAACGUGUAAUUCGGGGCGUGACACCAAAUCUGAUGAAAUUUUUAUAGAAAAUUCUUUUUACUAUUUAGAGUAAGAUCAGUACCUCUGAUCUUAAAUUCAAAUCUUUUAUCAUCAUUUUUUAUGAGAUUUUUAUUUUCAGCCAUUAAUUUUUAGGCUACUCAUUUGAUAGGUAAAUGAUGCCGAAAAAUUAUGAAAUUUAGUUUCCAAAUACUUUCAAUAGUGUAGAUCAAGUCUAACGGAGUCGAUCGUCGAUUUGGAAGCCGCAUCAUUGAAAACAACUUGGUAGCACGAAGGCCUCCGUGCUACCGAUAGUAUACCAGCCUAGCUCUCUCUCUCUGUCUCUCUCUCUCUCUCUCUCUCUCUCUCUAUAUAUAUAUAUAUAUAUAUGUAUAUGUAUAUGUAUAUAUAUAUAUAUGUAUAUGUAUAUGUAUAUGUAUAUAUAUAUAUAUGUAUAUGUAUAUGUAUAUGUAUAUGUAUAUGUAUAUAUGUAUAUGUAUAUGUAUAUANGCAUGAUAGUGUAGUGAUUCAUAGCGGUAUAUUUUAUUCCUGCAUUUACUACUAUCCUUACUCCCUUCUGUAGACUUAGUAGGUGGACCGAUGUUGUUGAGGGCGGCACCUGCUGUUGUUGAUCAGGAUCGAGGUAAGAGCGUCGCGAGUUAGAGCCCUACCCGACGAGCCGAGCUAGAGAUGCCCCUACAGCAGGUAGUUGUUUUGUUGGAGUUCAUGUACAUACUUAUAUUUAACUCGCCAGUGUGAGUAGUUUUGUAUCUUGGAUUUUGGCAUAUGUAUAUGGAACUCGGUUUGUUUUAUUUCUGCUUCUUCUAGCAGCUCUAUACUACUGUUUGUAGUAUUGUAUGAUUUACAGGUACAGCUAUCGCUUCGUAUACAGGAAAAAUUUCUUUAUAUACGGCGGAUUUGUUCGCGUGCCCGGGGAACGUGUAAUCCGGGACGUGACACCAAAUCUGAUGAAAUUUUUAUAGAAAAUUCUUUUUACUAUUUAGAGUAAGAUCAGUACCUCUGAUCUUAAAUUCAAAUAUUUUAUCAUCAUUUUUUAUGAGAUUUUUAUUUUCAGCCGUUCAUUUUUAGGCUACUCGUUUGAUAGGUAAAUGAUGCCGAAAAAUUAUGAAAUUUAGUUUCCAAAUACUUUCAAUAGUGUAGAUCAAGUCUAACGGAGUCGAUCAUCGAUUUGGAAGCCGCAUCAUUGAAAACAACUUGGUAGCACGGAGGCCUCCGUGCUACCAAUAGUAUACCAGCCUAGCUCUCUCUCUCUCUCUCUCUCUCUCUCUAUAUAUAUAUAUAUAUAUAUAUAACUAGGCUAGAAUGCUAUUAAUAGCACCAAUAACUUGGUGCUAUUAAGUUUUCUGCCGUUGGAUUAAAAUAUGUGCGAUUAGGAUGAUGUGGGCCCCCUAGGUUGAGUGGGUGGUUAGUUGAACAGUAUAAUCGAACAGAUGAAAAUGAUAAAAGAGGUAAAUUUAACGACAAAAAUCCUGAUAGCACCAAUUGCUUCGUGCUAUCGAUAGUAGCCCAGCCGGACUAUAUAUAUAUAUGUAUGUAUAUAUAUAUAUAUAUGUAUAUAUAUAUAUAUAGAAUUAGGCUGGUAUACUAUUAAUAGUAAAACGCUCUUUUUGCUAUCAAGUUUUUAACCCUUGGAUGAAAAAUUGUAGGGUCAGGAUGAUAUUAGUCGGUUAGAGUUGAGUGAUCCGCCUAGGGUUGAGUGGUCCCCACUAGGUUAUAGUAUUUAAUCCAAUGGUUAGAAAUAAUGAAAAGAGUUGAUCCAAAGGCUAAAAAACUGGUAGCAACAAUGGGAUUUUGCUACUAAUAGUAGCCCAGUCCAAAUCUAUAUAUAUAUAUAUAUAGAGAGAGAGAGAGAGAGUAAGUCUCCUGUACUUUCGAAAGUACGGAGACCUCCGUGCUUGUAAGUUAUUUUUAAUAAUAGAAAAUCCGAUUCGACGAUCGGUUCCGUUAAGUAUAAUCUACCCUAUUAGAACUAUUUAGAAACCAAAUUUUAUAAUUUUUUGACAUCAUUUACCAAGUGAUCAAAAGGUCUCAAAAAUGACUAUUUUAAUGGCCGAUGUGGCACGUUUUUAAGUUCAAUGGUGUAGAAGUAUCCAAAUUAGAUGAAAAUUUAAUAGAAAAUUCUACUUAACAUCAAUAGUAAGACCAAUACUUUCGAUUUGAAAUUUGAGUCAUUUAUCACUGUUUUUUAUGAGAUUUUCAUUUUUAGCUGCUCAUUUUGAGGCUACUCGUUUACUAAACAAACGAAAUCAAAAAAUUAUGAAAUUUGGUUUCUAGAUAGUUCCAACAACGUAGAUCAUGUCUAACGGAACCGAUCGCCGAAUUGGAUGUUCGAUUAUUGAAAACAACUUACAAGUACGGAGGCUCCCGUACUUUCGAAGGCAUAGGAGCACCGCAGCCCUUAUGCUUCUAACUUUCUAACACCCCAUCAAGUUUGAUGGGUGGUUAGAAUGAAAGAGGGAGGAGAUAUUGGGGAGAAAUUGGGUGUUUCAAUUUCUUUUCUCCUUGAAUUUCUCUU